rnacentral:rRNA from 1 species
CCUCCCUACGGGACGCAGCAGUGGGGAAUAUUGGGCAAUGGGCGAAAGCCUGACCCAGCAACGCCGCGUGAAGGAAGAAGGCUUUCGGGUUGUAAACUUCUUUUGACAGGGAAGAGCAGAAGACGGUACCUGUCGAAUAAGCCACGGCUAACUACGUGCCAGCAGCCGCGGUAAUACGUAGGGGGCAAGCGUUAUCCGGAUUUACUGGGUGUAAAGGGAGCGUAGACGGCGAUGCAAGUCUGAAGUGAAAGGCGGGGGCCCAACCCCUGGACUGCUUUGGAAACUGUAUGGCUGGAGUGCAGGAG